UACGAAGGUGGCGAAUGAUACUCGGAUUUACUGGGCGUAAAGCGUCCGCAGGUGGUUUAUCAAGUCAGGUGUGAAAUCCCCGUGCUCAACAUGGGAACUGCAUUUGAAACUGAUUCACUAGAAGGCAGAAGAGGUAGGUAGAAUUCUCGGUGUAGAGGUGAAAUUCGUAGAUAUCGAGAGGAACACCUGCGGCGAAGGCGGGUUGCUGGGCUGACACUGACGCUGAGGCGCGAAAGCCAGGGGAGCGAACGGG
rnacentral:rRNA from 1 species